AUGAGACGUGCCGCGACAUGCACCACCACCACGGCACUCCGCGCGCAGUGCGGUGGCCGGACGGAACCCAUGCAGGCGCGCAAGGAGGACGGGCCCGUGCCUCAGGAGCGGGUCCGAGAGGAGGACGAGGUGGAGCAACUGGAGUUGCUGGAGGACGAGGCCAUGGCCGGGGAAGAUGAGGGCCGUAGCCCCACGGACUACGGCCGCCGUGUGCACAUCUUCCAAGAGAGCUCCCGGGUGUUCCGGGCCCUCAAGGAGAGCCGUGACAGGGACGGCGGUGCCAAGCCCGGUGCUGCCGCGACGCGCCACGGCUGA
rnacentral:rRNA from 1 species